rnacentral:piRNA from 1 species
UACAAGAAGGUUUUGCUAGCAGCCGGUGGU